ACUUUUGAGCUUGUUAAAAAGAACACGGAGUCAAAAAAAAAGUAAUAUCAUCAUCUGUCAAAUUAUGGGAGUGCUUCAGCCCCUCUAAAAAUGGGCUGGACAUGGCUAUGGACCAAAGACUUUUGCACCGUACUGUACAUUGACGACUCAAUGGUGUGACAAUACAUUUUGUUUGGGUUCCAGCGAGGAACCAGAAUUUACAUUUUCAGGAACAAAUACUCCAAAUGGUGACACACCAUGCAUUAAAUUGCCAACUAGAUCGUAAACAAUGUGAAAUGGAAAGUUCUCUGAAAGAUACAAUCAAAACUGAACAUUGCAUAGCUUACAGAUGCACUGAUGUACCACACACACACACACACACACACACACACACUAACAUCAGCGAUGAUGGCAGUCAAGUUGGGAAUGUGUGAAGUGAGCGUUUCGCGCCGUGUCUUCUCAACGGAUGUGUAUGAGGGGGGAAAAAAAAGCGCUUUUUGUGUGUUAGUGUGUGUGAACCAUUUCCCUGCUAUCGCUGAUGUUUACAUUAUUCAUCAGUUCCACGCUAUUGUGCUCCUCUCUCAUCAAUAACAAAUGGGCAACAUUUGGUAGCAGGUUGCUUCUUACGAUAUGCUCGAUUCUUGAUACACCUGGAUGGCGCUUUUAUGUCUGUCAGCAAUGUUGCGUGCACUUGUGGGUUUUAUUGUGCGAGCGUGUCUGAGUGUUAUGGCAGAAAGCUGCGAAAGUGACAUCCACCAAGGAUGCAACCGGCAUGCUGUGGAACUUCGCAGGUCGAGCGCAAUCUGUUCCAGUGCAUAGCAAACAAUGGGAAGCAGUACCUCGGCAGCAACAGUCUUGGAAGAGGAUGUGUGAACAUCCCAGUGGAGGCGAUCUCACACUAAUGGACGCGG